rnacentral:miRNA from 10 species
UAUUAGGUUGGUGCAAAAGUAAUUGCGGUUUUUGCCAUUAAAAGUAAUGGCAAAAAACCGCA